CCAAAUGCCAGAGCUGGCUGGCAGCAGAGUCUGGGUUUGAAUCAAAGUCGAUCUGAUGACAGAGGCCGAGCUCUUCAACACACGCUGUGGCCUGCUUCACCAAUGAGGUGGCACAUACCACGGUCCUGAGAAUGUGAGACGGUUUUGGGGAAACGCCCUUUCAUCAACAAGCCUCCGACUCUGAAUGGCUUACUAUGCAGAUGGCUGGGACCAUGAUAACACACUGAUCAUAAUUUUUUUUUUCCUGUUUUAUUUUCAUUGAGGGAAACCUUCUCAGUUACGCAGGGAGCUCUAUGGCCUCCCGUACUUGGGAACUAGAUGGGGCUUUCUCUCCCACUGAUCAUUUCUACCAAAGAGCUGCGUUAUUGGAAGGAAACAUCAGAAAACCACCAGGUUAGGUAGGAUGGGGUAGCAAACCACGGCCUCCUGAGAGCCAAAUCCAGCUGACUGCUUGUUUCAUAGGGCCUAGAAGCUAAGAACGGUACUUAUUCUUAAAUGGCUGAAAGCAGGAAUCAAAAGAAUAUUUCAUGCCAUGUUAAAAUUAUAUGAAACUCAAGUUCAAUGCCUAUAAAAUUUUACUGAGGCAGAGCCACGUUAUAUUGGCUUGGCCCAAAAGUUCACUCGGGGGUUUCCACAACAUCUUACGGAAAAAUCCGAACGAUCUUUUUUUGGCCAACCCAAUAGCUUAUGUACUGUCUAUGGCUGCUUCUGCACAGUAGGGCUGGGUGGUUCAGAAAGAGAUCAUAUGACCCGCAAAACCUAUAAUAUCUGGCCUCUUGCAGAAAAAGAUUGCUGACCUGAGUUAGAGGAAGAGAAUCUCCAAUCACGAGCCUCAGUCGAAGGGAGCGAGAAAGUGAUCUCAUCGCCGGGGUGCUCACAGCUGCCUUCUGAGGGAGACGCUGUUGCUGUUAGCAGGACCUUCGGCAGAUCUUUUACCGUCUGAGCAUGCAUUUCCUCAUUUAUGAAGCAGAAGCAGGCUGAUACCGAAACCGGAGGCAAGU